rnacentral:rRNA from 1 species
GACGAACGCUGGCGGCGUGCUUAAUACAUGCAAGUCGAACGGAAAGGCCCUGCUUUUGUGGGGUGCUCGAGUGGCGAACGGGUGAGUAACACGUGAGUAUCCUGCCCUUGUCUUUGGGAUAACUUCAGGAAACUGGGGCUCAUACCGGAUAGGAGCUACUGCUGCACGGUGGGGGUUGGAAAGUUUCGGCGGUUGGGGAUGGACUCGCGGCUUAUCAGCUUGUUGGUGGGGUAGUGGCUUACCAAGGUUUUGAAGGGUAGCCGGCCUGGGAGGGUGACCGGCCACAUUGGGACUGAGAUACGGCCCAGACUCCUACGUGAGGCAACAGUCGAGAAUAUUGCACAAUAGGCGGAAGCCAGAUGCGGCAACGCCGCGUGCGUGAUGACGGCCUUCGGGUUGUAAACCGCUUUCGCCUGUAACGAAGCGUGAUUGACGGUAAUGAGUAAAAAAGCACCGGCUAACUACGUG